rnacentral:rRNA from 1 species
UACGGAGGGUGCAAGCGUUAUCCGGAAUCACUGGGUUUAAAGGGUGCGUAGGCGGUCAGAUAAGUCAGUCGUGAAAUUCCCCGGCUUAACCGGCGGGACUGCGAUUGAUACUGUUUGACUUGAAUCAAGUUGAGGCAGGCGGAAUGUGACAUGUAGCGGUGAAAUGCUUAGAUAUGUCAUAGAACACCGAUUGCGAAGGCAGCUUGCUGGGCUUUGAUUGACGCUGAGGCACGAAAGCGUGGGGAGCAAACAGG